GAUGAAGAACGUAGCGAAAUGCGAUACUUGUUGUGAAUUGCAGAAUCCCGUGAACCAUCGAGUCUUUGAACGCAAGUUGCGCCCGAAGCCAUUAGGCCGAGGGCACGCCUGCCUGGGCGUCACACGUCGUUGCCCCCCCAUCUACUCCUUCGGGAUUGCGGGGGGCGGAUGAUGGCCUCCCGUGCGCCACGCCGCGCGGUUGGCAUAAAUGCCAAGUCCUCGGCGACGCACGCCACGACAAUCGGUGGUUGCGAAACCUCGGUUGCCCGUCGUGUGCGGUCGUCGCGCAUCGAGGGCUCGAAAAAAUUGCCGGGUUCCGGCUCGGCUUUCAACGCGACCCCAGGUCAGGCGGGGUUACCCGCUGAAUUUAAGCAUAGCAAUAAGCGGAGGA
rnacentral:misc_RNA from 1 species